UACGUAGGGUGCGAGCGUUUAAUCGGAAUUACUGGGCGUAAAGCGUGCGCAGGCGGUUUGUUAAGACAGAUGUGAAAUCCCCGGGCUUAACCUGGGAACUGCAUUUGUGACUGGCAAGCUAGAGUAUGGCAGAGGGGGGGUAGAAUUCCACGUGUAGCAGUGAAAUGCGUAGAGAUGUGGAGGAAUACCGAUGGCGAAGGCAGCCCCCCUGGGCCAAUAC
rnacentral:rRNA from 1 species